ensembl:lncRNA
AAAAUGUAGCAAAUAAGGGAGGUUCCCUUUGUUUAUGCAUUUGAUAUGUAUACAAAAAAAUAUUAAUUGCUGCAAAUAUCUAUACUGUGUAGAGUCUGCUUUUUUUCAUACAGGGGAAGAAGAAAAAAAUGUUUUGGGUGUGGGUGUUCUUUGUGAAGUAUAGAAAACAAUGCUUAAGUGAUUUAAAGGAGAGCGGCAAAAUUUAGCACUCUGAUAGACACAAUUAAUUGAUGAUUGAGCACAGACUCAAUGAUAUUUUCAGUGGUGGAUAUGGCUGUCAUAGUGGGUUAUGUUCCAAGAGCGCCUGCAAGAUGAACCUGUUGGAAAGCCUUGGAGCCAAAAAUAUUUUUUUAAAGUGUCUUGUUAAUAUUGGCUAACAGAAUGGAUCGUAUACAGAAUAGAUAAAAUCAUAUCAACCUUUUAAAACAAAUGACUAAAAACUCACAGUAAUUUAUUAGCUACCAAACAUUUUGUAGGGAUUUCUUUUAAACACAGAAUAGUUUUUCUAGUGCCUUGUAUUUCUGCCAACUUUGGUAGAAAGKUUCAAAGAAUGUGCAGCAAACUGAUACGAUCCUUUAAAUUCUAUUCACCCCUUUGGCACAAAAGCUAUAAGUGUUCUCAAGGCAGAUUCAUGCAUGCCUAAAGAUGGGAAUAGGUUCAAAUAUGUGUGUUAAGUUACAGUGUCAUGCAAUACAUUCUUUAGAUACCUCCAAUUUAUUUAUUGGUGUUAUCAGCACAUCUGUUCUUAAACAGAACUCUUUUAGAGAGGUAACCUUAUCACCUAACAAAGAAAUUAUGRCCCCCAAAUCCUGUCCCCUCUCAAUCAAUCAAUUGCAUGUUUGCUUGUCCUGAUAAUACACUCCCAACAUUGCUGCAUAGUGUUCCAGCAGGACGUGAGAGCUAUCGAGACUUGAUUUUUUUAUUAAAAAUAGUAGCAGAAAAAAUAUCAUGCUGGAUUUCUUUUUCAUUGAGAAAAAUGAGUGAAAAAGACAUGACAUUUGCUAUUUCUUUAGCAGGUUCCUUUUUCUUUUCAGUUCAGUUGAGUCCUUACCUCUCCUUUCUACACAAGAAAAUCAGACGUGCCAGGACUACAAGACCGACAGCUCCAAAUACACAGCCAAGCAGGAUUAUUUGCUUGACAUCUGCAAAAAAAAAAGAAAGCAACCACAACAAAACAGGUUGCAGAGUACCAGUGGGGCAGUUCUAUCACUUCCCUACCGAUGUAGGAGAGUGACAGCAGGCUUCUGUAUGGCUGUGGUGAGUAACAGAAGCUAAAGAUAUCAUGAAGGUAAAUUUUGGAUGACAUGUAAGAAGACUGGUAAAAUUUUAGGAGAUUUAGUAUCUUGAGUGAAUUGUCUGGCAGAACAAAUGCUUCCUGAAUUUUAUGUCCCACUUAAGAAAGGAAAAUACCAGCCAGAGCACUACCUCUGAAAAACUGAGAGUCCCAGUGUGAGCAACGUUUGUCCCACGCUCAGUGCCAAAGGGCCAAACAGCUGUGUAGUCCCUUGUCUCUGAGACACUGUAGUAUCCUAAGGUGGAACUAGAUUCAAGACUCUGCCCUGUUUGUUCACCUGUCAAUAGCACUGUCUGCAUGUAUCAGGGAGCAUGUAGUCUGUUUGGAGACAGAUGAGCAGUGGUGCAUCUGAGCUCUAACAUCCCUUUUUGCCUGCUUCUCCAUUGCUUUGUCAUGUCUGCAGGAAGGACUGCCCAAGCUACAGCCUAGCACACAGUGAUGGCAGAGUGAUGUAAUUUACAAUUCUGUGAACCUAGAAUAGGUAACUUGCCUCAUACUGAAGUUUAAGGAAGGAAGUGAGAUAGAUAAACUAUUUCACAGACAUUAAUGCUUCAUCCAGUAACCUUUGUACCAGGCCCAAUAAUUUAUGCUUGACUCAAACACCACCGUACAGACAGGUACCCUGUCUCUGUCAAGCAAUAAGAACCCACCACUGGUCUUGGUAGUUUGGUCCAGUGGUGAAUUGUCUGUAUUGUGAAAACUUUGUAUUAUUUCAUUUCUAAUUUCAAGUAAUCUGUCUUCAUUGUUACAUGUUUUGCAGUCAUUCUCCUGGAAACCAUAGAUAAAUAAAAAUUUCAUAGUAAAUCUGCCUGAUGUUUCU